AAAUAUACAACGUAACUCUCCAUGACUGCAUCUCCCAAAAUUGAUACACAAAAAAUAUUGAGAUUAUUAAGAAUAAUUAUCAUCAAGUGUUCGAUCGAUAGAUCAUCAUGACUAACAAGUUAAUAACCAUGAUAAAUCUUUUUUCAAUUUUCCUUCUGGUUUCAGCUCUCUCGAUAACACUUCAUCAAGUGGCUGAAGGCGCAACGAUUUGUAGAGAUCAAUGGGAGGUUACUAACUGCGACGAUUUUAACUUUUGUCGCAAUAAAUGUUUGAAACUUCAUCCGGGGCCCAUGACAUGGUCACGUUGCAUAGAUUUAGCAGAAGCUUUCUAUUGUAUCUGUGAAUUCUCUUGCUGAUUAUUUAGUACAUUUUAACAUGGGUUUUGCCUACAAGAAUUUUACAUGUUGCUAUUACAAAAUGAUCAUGGAGAGAAAAAGAGACUUAAAUAGUUCUCAUUUCAUUUCUGGUUGUAUUGCUGAUAUUGUAUCGAAUGAAUGGACAAAUAUCAAGCCAAUAUUUUAGAUUUU